rnacentral:rRNA from 1 species
CGAACGCUGGCGGCGUGCCUAAUACAUGCAAGUUGAGCGCUGAAGGUUGGUACUUGUACCACCUGGAUGAGCAGCGAACGGGUGAGUAACGCGUGGGGAAUCUGCCUUUGAGCGGGGGACAACAUUUGGAAACGAAUGCUAAUACCGCAUAAAAACUUUAAACACAAGUUUUAAGUUUGAAAGAUGCAAUUGCAUCACUCAAAGAUGAUCCCGCGUUGUAUUAGCUAGUUGGUGAGGUAAAGGCUCACCAAGGCGAUGAUACAUAGCCGACCUGAGAGGGUGAUCGGCCACAUUGGGACUGAGACACGGCCCAAACUCCUACGGGAGGCAGCAGUAGGGAAUCUUCGGCAAUGGACGAAAGUCUGACCGAGCAACGCCGCGUGAGUGAAGAAGGUUGUCGGAUCGUAAAACUCUGUUGGUAGAGAAGAACGUUGGUGAGAGUGGAAAGCUCAUCAAGUGACGGUAACUACCCAGAAAGGGACGGCUAACUACGUG